GACAAAUCAUCGUGUGUGGCUGACCCAGCCAAGCUCCACCUCUCUCCAUCGCUGUGUUUUCCAUGGGAGCACAUCUGUUCUGGCUGCUCCACCUAUUUUUGAAGGCCAGCAGAGCUUGGAAUGUCCCCUGAGGUUUGCCUGGAGUGCAGGUGCUGCAGGAAUUUUGCUUCCACAAAGCUCAAGCAGAGCAGGAGACAAAAAGGAGUGGUUUUGGGUGAGAUCUGUGCCCUGAACAAAGGAUCCACUGGAGGCUGCUGAGGAUGUUUUGUGCCAAGAAGGGAGAAAGAAAUCCUGACAAAUAACAAGUUCAUGGAGUGCUUAAAUCUGAAGACA